GCACUCAUUCUUUGGGACGAGUCUCCGGUGAUUUGACAAUGUAUCGAUUCCUGAUCUUCGUUUUCGCCCUGCUCCUGUCUGCCCUGGUUUUUGCGGCAGGGUUUUUAAUGGAUGAGGGAAAUAACUUUGGACGGAAUUUUGAAAAUGAAUACAGCGGUUGUUAUUGGACCGGAGACGAAUGGAAAUGUGGAAAUGGAUUCUAGUCAACACCAAAAGAACUUUGCCAACAUUGAAAUAUUGUAACAAAAACGAAAAGACGGUCAACAUUUUGAAUGCAUAACAAACUGUACACAGGUCAAUAAACAAUCGAUGACUUCAUG
rnacentral:misc_RNA from 1 species